GUGGGGAAUUUUGGACAAUGGGCGCAAGCCUGAUCCAGCCAUGCCGCGUGCAGGAUGAAGGCCUUCGGGUUGUAAACUGCUUUUGUACGGAACGAAACGGCUCUUUCUAAUAAAGAGGGCUAAUGACGGUACCGUAAGAAUAAGCACCGGCUAACUACGUGCCAGCAGCCGCGGUAAUACGUAGGGUGCGAGCGUUAAUCGGAAUUACUGGGCGUAAAGCGUGCGCAGGCGGUGAUGUAAGACAGAUGUGAAAUCCCCGGGCUCAACCUGGGAAUUGGGAUUGUGACUGCAAGGCUGGAGUGCGGCAGAGGGGGAUGGAAUUCCGCGUGUAGCAGUGAAAUGCGUAGAUAUGCGGAGGAACACCGAUGGCGAAGGCAAUCCCCUGGGCCUGCACUGACGCUCAUGCACGAAAGCGUGGGGAGCAAACAGGAUUAGAUACCCCAGUAGUCC
rnacentral:rRNA from 1 species